CCUACGGGAGGCAGCAGUGAGGAAUAUUGGUCAAUGGACGAGAGUCUGAACCAGCCAAGUAGCGUGAAGGAUGACUGCCCUAUGGGUUGUAAACUUCUUUUAUAUGGGAAUAAAAUGUUCCACGUGUGGGAUUUUGUAUGUACCAUAUGAAUAAGGAUCGGCUAACUCCGUGCCAGCAGCCGCGGUAAUACGGAGGAUCCGAGCGUUAUCCGGAUUUAUUGGGUUUAAAGGGUGCGUAGGUGGAUUGUUAAGUCAGUUGUGAAAGUUUGCGGCUCAACCGUAAAAUUGCAGUUGAAACUGGCAGUCGUGAGUACAGUAGAGGUAGGCGGAAUUCGUGGUGUAGCGGUGAAAUGCUUAGAUAUCACGAAGAACUCCGAGUGCGAAGGCAGCUCACUGGACUGCAACUGACACUGAGGCUCGAAAGUGUGGGUAUCAAACAGGAUUAGAUACCCGGGUAGUC
rnacentral:rRNA from 1 species